UGAAUACCAGAUACUACGGCGUCGAAGCAGUCUAUGUCAUACUUCCAAGAAAAGCUUGCACUGUCAUAAACAAAUAAUGCCUGUACCAUAACCGACACAGGUGGGUAGGUAGAGUAUACUAAGGGGCGCGAGAUAACUCUCUCUAAGGAACUCGGCAAAAUGACUCCGUAACUUCGGGAGAAGGAGUGCCUUCUUUAGAAGGUUGCAAUAACAAGAUCCAAGCAACUGUUUACCAAAAACACAGGUCUCCGCUAAGUCGUAAGACGAUGUAUGGGGGCUGACGCCUGCCCAGUGCCAGAAGGUUAAAGAAGUUGGUUAGCAUUCGCGAAGCUGAUAACUGAAGCCCUGGUGAACGGCGGCCGUAACUAUAACGGUCCUAAGGUAGCGAAAUUCCUUGUCGGGUAAGUUCCGACCCGCACGAAAGGCGUAAUGAUUUGGAUACUGUCUCGGAGAGGGACUCGGUGAAAUAGACUUGUCUGUGAAGAUGCGGACUACCUGCACCUGGACAGAAAGACCCUAUGAAGCUUUACUGUAACUUGAAAUUGAAAUUGGACUUUAUUUGCGCAGUAUAGGUGGGAGGCCUUGAGAAUAAUCUUGCGGGAUUAUUGGAGCCAUCAGUGAGAUACCACUCUUGUAAUGUUAGAUUUCUAACUUUGGAUCAUGAUCUGGUCAAAGAACAGUUUCAGGCGUGCAGUUUGACUGGGGCGGUCGCCUCCCAAAUGGUAACGGAGGCGCACAAAGGUUUCCUCUGAACGGGUAGAAAUCGUAUCUAGAGUGUAAAGGCAUAAGGAAGCUUGACUGUGAGACCUACAAGUCGAGCAGGGACGAAAGUCGGUCUUAGUGAUCUGACGGUGCUGAGUGGAAAGGCCGUCACUCAACGGAUAAAAGUUACUCUAGGAUAACAGGCUGAUCUCCCCCAAGAGUUCACAUCGACGGGGAGGUUUGGCACCUCGAUGUCGGCUCAUCGCAUCCUGGGGCGGUAGUACGUCCCAAGGGUUGGGCUGUUCGCCCAUGAAAGCGGUACGCGAGCUGGGUUCAGAACGUCGUGAGACAGUUCGGUCCAUAUCCGGUGUAGGCGUUAGAAUAUUGAGAGGAGCCUUCUCUAGUACGAGAGGACCGAGAAGGACAUACCUCUGGUGUACCAGUUAUCGUGCCAACGGUAAACGCUGGGUAGCUAUGUAUGGAGUGGAUAACCGCUGAAAGCAUCUAAGUGGGAAGCCCACCUCAAGAUAAGUAUUC
rnacentral:rRNA from 1 species